UUUGUGACUUUGGUGCAGUGACAUUACGAAAGGAUCAUUGCAUAGAAUGUUAGAAUCUAGCAUAUUCUAUAAGUAGCAAGAAUUUGAUAUUCUUUCACUUAUGAAAAAGGAUUUGGAGUUGUGAAAUGAGAAUGAUUGGAAAUGUGCUCAAUUUGGUCUAUUUCACAAAGUAAGAACCAUAGGUAAACAUUGUGUGCAUGCUAGGAGCAUGGGACAAGUGUAAUAAUUCAAGUAAGAAGUUGAUUACCCGAAACGACAAAUAAUGAGUAAUCGAUAUGGUGAUAAAUAAAAGGUGUUUUAUUUAUACUCACAGGUUUGAGGCCAUAUGGGAUUAGUAUUAUUCUUGUGUUUCACAUUUGCAUGUUUUGACUUCCAGAAUAAUUGAAUUUAUUAAGAAUAAUCGAAUUAUUCGAAUGGGCCACAGUCACUAAUAAAAAAUAGACCUUUAAUGACGCGCUUUUUACGACACACGCUGAUUAAUGAUACGCAAAAGGACGUGCCCUUAAAAUAGUGUCAUCUCUUCAAAAAAAUUUAGGAUUUACGUCACGCAUUACUGCGUGCCCUUAAUUUAGUGUCUCAAGAAAAAAAAAUUAAAAACACGGAGGGCGCUUUAUCUUAAACGUGCGUCGUCUUUACCUGUCGCUUUAUAAUUUUAAUGAAACGCGCUUUUAGUAGACAAGGGGGAAACGAAAUCCCCAAAAUUUUGAAAACCCGCCUUUUUUUUUCUAUCUUCUAUCUAUCUUUCAUCCUUGCCAUCCACUCUCCUCUCUCUGAUACUCUCUCCUCUAGAUCUCCCUUCAUUCUCUACCUCCCAUCUCUCUGUAAACCCUAAGCCAUCGCCACCUCCCUUCUCUCUAGCACGUGCUAGGCCAGGGUUUUAGUAGAUACUGGGGAAAAUGAAAUCCUCAAAAUUUUGAAAACCCGCUUCUUUUUUAUCCUCCGUUUGUGUGCUUUUCCAUGGCGAAGAAAAAAGAACUAAGGUUUGUUUCCCCAAUUCAAAAUUAACGCUAAUUUCUUCUUAAACUACAUGUUAUUUUACAGUUUUUUUGGGUGAUUUACAGCCGACGAAUUCUAACGAUUUUCAUUUAUUGUGCACAUGUUUUUGAAUUCUAACGAUUUUCAUUUAUUGUGCAAAUGUUGAGCGAUUUUAUCGACUGUGCGAUCCAGGCGUGUAUUAGGGUUACCGCUUCCGUGAAAUCUCCACUGGGGAUCGAUCAGCACUUGUUAUCUAACAACACACCGACAAACACCACCGAAGAUGGCUUCAAUUCCUCCACUUAUCGAUCCUCUAUCUUUUUUCCUACUCUGUUCUACAACCACUUCCGUCCCCGCCACCGCCUUCUUCCACCGUUUGUGUCUAACCUCAUCUCCUCCAGUGCUCGCCGCUACGCUUUCUUCUCCUUUCCGCCUUACAGAUCCUCGCAGACCAUUGCUCAUCGUCGCUGCAGCUACCACUUUGAUGUCCAAUUUUGUUCAGGUACAACUCUUCUCAGUGUAAUUUGUGAGUUUAGUUUCGGAUAAAUUUCUUUGUAGAUCAGUCCAUAAUACGUGUUGUUACCCUUUUCAGACAUUUGAAUAUAGACGUGAUCAUGAAACAGGAGCUAAAUUUGUUGUUACCCUAAGCAUCGCCUCGACAGAAAUGGAAGAACAAAGUGAUUCGCUAAAUUUGUUUUUCAGUUCGUAUUGAUCGCUAAUUUUGUCCCAAUCCUUCCAAUUCGAUGUUCCAGAUCAGUUUUAUAUUCAAAUUGGUAACUAGUAUGGUAAUAAUUUUGUCCCAAUCCUUCCAAUUCGAUGUUCCAGAUCACCCCUGCUUCUGAUUUUUUAGCUUCCUGGUCAGGCCGACUCAUAGAAUUAUUCCCCACAAACCCUUUGACUUCCGAAACAUCACCCCCAUCCUUGUUCUUUCCCAUAACCUUGUUACUUUUCCAACUUUGCCCCUGUUCAAUCUUUGAAUCAUUAGACUUUCCUUUCAUUGGCUGAAUAUUCCCGUAAUACCCCUGCCCAUUUUUACCUCCUGUCUUCCCACCUCUAUCAAAACUAAAUUCCAAAUUUUCCUGAUUAUUCCCAUUAUACCCCUGAUAGCGAAUUCCAGCAGAAGCCCCAGAAUUUCCAAUUUUCGGAUAAUUCCCUUUUUGCCCCUGCUUGCGGUUUCCAGCAAAAACCCCUGAACCUUCAUUUUUCGAGAAAUUCCCUUGAUGCCCCUGACACGAAAACAGUUUUUCCCCCCUAUAGCUUCUUUUGAAAAAAAAAUUUCCAUUAUUUCCUUUGGUUUUCUUCACCACAUCAAUGCCUAACUAAAUUGGCUAUGUUUCUUUUUCUUUUUCUUAACCAAAGUUUAUCAACUUUGUGAAUAUUAUUCUGACUUGUUUUGAUAUUUAUUUUUGAUAUUUUGUUCUUAAUGUUGGUUCUAACUUCUAUUUUUUUUCUUUUUUUUUUAAACAGUUACAAGGGACCUGAAUAGGGGUUUUCUGAAUUUGUAGUGAUGGUUGCAGACACUGAAGAUUUUGAAAUGAUUUCCCAUAUUCCAUUCCUUACUAUAUAUAAGCAUUGAAAGAAGUCAACUAAGAUCCCAAAUCCAACAACUCAAGGUUUACUUUAUUAUCUUCUCAUAAUCUUUAAUCUAAUUACACACUAUCAGAUCAAUGUUUUUUUCUGCAAUUUCUUCUUUUACAUUGUCUUCUACAAGUUACUGUUCUGCUACUGUUUAGCAUGAUAAAACCAAGGAUUGUAUUAUGUUGAAGAUUAUUCGUGUUCUUCCCCCUGCUGUUCCUAGCCGUCAAGUGAAAGCAAACUCCUCAACAUGGGAGGCAUCGGGUGAGACAUUAAACAACAUUGACCAAGAAGCAAUGGCUGUUGACCCUGCACUUGUAUUAACCAUCCAGGUUAUGUUGAGUGACUUUGGGGUAGCAAAGCAAUUUGAUGAAAGCACAAGGUUAAAUUCCAUGUGUGGGACAUUAGAAUAUAUGACACCUGAAAUUGUACAAGGGGGGGGCCAUGAUAAGGCCGCUGAUUGGUGGAGUGUUGGAAUUUUAAUGUAUGAAAUGCUUUCUGGAAAGCCUUCGUUUAGAGGUGGAAACAGACAGAAGAUUCAGGAGAAAAUAGUGAAGGACAAGAUAAAGCUUCCAGGAUUCUUGUCAAGUGAAGCACAUUCGCUUUUGAAAGGGGGGUUGAUAGCUUUCUCUUAGCUUGGUUGAAUGAUAAGAUGGUGGUCAUUGGGAUCCAUGUGAUCAGAAUUUCCCUGGUGCUCCAACAUUUUUGUCAGGUAAACCCAUCUGGCCAGACCUCUGCAUUGCCUCCUACAAGGUAGAUCACACUUGCUUGGCUAAACAUUAUUCUGUAUGCUUUCAAACUUGUCUUCUUCCUGAAUUCUUUUUCUUUCUAUCAUGGCAACCUUCAACAGUAGUUUUGGACCGGCACCUUCUUGCAAAAGAUAUCGUGUACGUGUUCUUCUGCUGCUAUUGUGGAUUCGGGAACAUCCUUGCUUACUGGUCCAACUGUAUGUAUCUCACGUGAAGCUUCUGUUAGAAUUAUUAAUCUUAGAGAUUUCAAGUUUUUCAUAUUUCUUGUAUCUAAUUAGUUUGUAAAUUUCCGUUACAACUUUUAUUGAUUUGUUUUAUCUUUCCAUGGAACGAUUAUUUGUAUGACAUUAUAUUUUGUGCAAUGGA